rnacentral:misc_RNA from 1 species
AACGCACGAGACCUGCGGACCUGCGGAGGGAUCAUUAAAGAGUUUAACUACUCAAACCAUUGUGAACCUUACCUCAACCGUUGCUUCGGCGGGCGGGCCCGGGCCAAGCCCGGCGCCCCCCCGGCCCCUCGCGGGCGCCCGCCGGAGGUUAACCGAACCCUUGAAUUGUAUGGCCUCUCUGAGUCUUCUGUACUGAAUAAGUCAAAACUUUUAACAAUGGAUCUCUAGAUCGGAAGAGCA